AGAAAAUGAAUGGUAAGAUCAAAUCAUAUAACAUGCGGCGUGCUUUUCCCGUCCGUAGGAGCAGCAAGCAUGAUCUCUGCGGGGCCUUCGUCGGCACCUUAUUCACCCAGGAAUGAUGGCACACUUUCGGGCAUCUUGAGGGCUCUUUACAAUGACCCGUUCAAGUGGCAGGUGGUAAAGAGUUGGUCCAUGUUCGCCUUCGGAGUCUACUUGGCCCGGGAAUUUGCUGGAGCCGAUCUUCUGGCCGCUCCACCCCCGAUGUAACAGAAUUUAGGGACCUUAACACAAUCACGAAGACGUCGCAUCAGCAGAGAUCUCGUAUGAACUUUGAAGACGUUUCGACUGAGGUUAUGGGCACGGGGCCACGGUUUAGUCCUGCUGUUUAUGUGGCUAUGUGGCUAUGUCCAGUGCCGGCUAGAACAUCUUGAAUUUGCACGCAAUAAAAAUCAACAACUCUGU